UUUUUUCUUUUCUUUUUUUUUUUUUUUAAGGCCCGCACCCACAGCAUAUGGAAGUUCCCAGGCAAGGGGCUGCAUCCGAGCUAUAGCUAUUGGCCUACACCACAGCCAUAGCAACGUGGGAUCCAAGCCUUGUCUGUGACCUACAUCACAGCUUUUGGCAAUGCCGGAUCCCCAACCCUUAACCCACUGAGUGAGGCCAGGGAUCAAACCCACAUCCUCAUGGAUACGAAUUGGAUUCACUUCCACUGAGAUGCAAUGGGAACUCCCACUAUACCUUUUUAAUGAAAAGAAACCUGACUGAUUCUGGUUUACUGAGGAAAGUAGUUGCUCUUUCUGCCAGUAGUGUGACUGGCUUGGGGGCUUCCUUUACUCUGCACUGACCUCUGGAGCCAUCUUAAAUAGCAAUAAACAGUAAGUAACUUACUAAAAAGUUACCGUACCAGAGCUGGUCCUGACAAGAGCUCUGUGGGGUAGGUUUUCAUUUUAGCUCCAUUUUACAGAUGAGCAAAUUAAGACUCAAAGAAAUGGAGUGACCUGACUCAAUGACACAUAGUUAUGAAAAUGGCAGCCUUCUGUUACAGAUCCAAAGUUCCUCUGCUGUAACAGAGACAUUAUUUAACCUGAAGUGGGCUGUAGAAGAGGCUUUUUACUUAUUUUUAAUUUUUUAAAGUUUUUAUUAUUUUAUUUAUUUAUUUAUUUAUUUUUUGGUCUUUUUGCCUUUUCUAGGGCCGCUCCUGCGGCAUAUAGAGGUUCCCAGGCUAGGGGCUGAAUCAGAGCUGCAGCUGCCCGCCUACGCCAGAGCCACAGCCCCGUGGGACCUGAGCCGCAUCUGCAACCUAUACCACAGCUCAUGGCAACGCCGGAUCCUUAACCCACUGAGCAAGGAUCUGGCAUUGCUGUGAGCUGUGGUAUAGGUCACAGACAUGGCUUGGAUCCCAUGUUGCUGUGGCUCUGGUGUAGGCUGGUGGCUAUAACUCCAAUUAGACCCCUAGCCUGGGAACCUCCAUAGAGAAGACAAAAAAAAAAAAAGUCAGAGUUUCCCAUUGUGGCUCAGCAGAAACAAAUCCAGCUAGUAUCCAUGAGGAUGCAGGUUUGAGCUCAGGCCUUGCUCCGUUGGUUAAGGAUCCUGUGUUGCUGUGGCUGUGGUGUAGGUCAGCAGCUGUAGCUGUGACUCGACCCCUAGCUGGGAACUUCCAAAUGCUUUGGGUGCAGCUCUUCAAAAAAAAAAAAAAGUCAAAUCAAAGAAAGCCAUGACAGAAGAAGGCUUGGGAAGCUGGGCUGCUAAAUUUGGGAGAAAUGAGUUUUGAGACUAUGACCUAAGGCUUGCCUUGUGAAUUUAGGAGAAACUUCCAUAAAGUGAUGGCAUGAAUUCAGUGUCAAAGUAAAGAAUCUAUAUUAGGCCACAUAUGCUCCCAGCUGAGAGGAGCAGUUCAUUCCAAAACAAAAUGGAAAUUGUACACUCAGAAACCAAGCCUCCCUCAGAGGCCUUGGCUUUCUUCAGGAUGUUUCCUCUCUUGCUCUGGUCAUACUGAGCUGGUUUAGUUUCAGGAAAAUUUGGUGACUUCCCAUAUAUAUAUAUUUUUUAACUUCAGAAAUAUUUUCUCAAAAAAACUUCCCUCAAAAUGUUUUGAGGUGACUAAACGUCCCUGUUUCCAAUAGGGUAUAAUCACAAAAUGGGUAAUCUUAAAAGUAGGUAGUAAUCUUAAAAAUAUGUGUAGUCUCAAAAGCAGUUUAUUAUCAAAAUAGUAAUGAUUCAUUAAAUACAUUUUUAAAAGUUAAGUAUUUAAAUCUCCCUUAAAAUGUUUUUAUACAAUCUUUUAGAAUUACACACACACACACACACGAAAGGUCUGCUCUUCAGCUAAGAGGAAAACCUACACUUGAAAAGUCAGACAAAAACCGACAGCACAUUUUCUUCUCUCAGUCUUUUCAGUGAGCUAGAAUGUGGAUGCCUUACAACGAAACCAAAAUUAAAACCUCCUUGGGUCUUUAGAAGCCACAAUCACAUUUCUCUUCUUAAAGGAAGACAAACUAUUCUUCUGAAAGCCAAAUAUCUGAAUUUCUCAAGGCAAAUCUCCCCCAUUCCGAGUUUUGGCAGCAUGAAAGUGUGUCACCCUAUUUGGCUUCUGUUGCAGUCUUUUUACCAUCUCAAGGGCUAUUAAAUGACUGGAAACAGAUGUCUGAGAACCAUUAGGGGCCUGCUUCUGCCUGGGAAAGCAGAGAAGCUGAGCAUCACAACACUCGACAUUCCCUUUUCUACAACUAUGUGUGAGCUGGAUGGCGCACCGCAGGGACCCUGGUAAUUCCUUCACCAGGGCAGAGGGUUAAACAAGGCUCAGCUUUUUAUGGCUUUGAAUCCCACUUCUCUUUCCCACCACUUAAAGAAGAGUAGCUUGCUGAUAUUUAAGAGAAAAAAAAAAAAAAAAAAAAAAAAAAGAGGACCCGGGGCAUAGAACAGAGCCCCCAAACGUGGGAAGUAGAGUUGUGCAAGCCUGUGAGCAAAAGACCUGAUGCUCAUUUUGCUACUUGAAAGGGAGAGUUGUUUGAGGGCAAGCUUGUAUAUUAUCUGCUCCUCUGGCUCCAGUUCAGAGCAUUUCCCAUUUUCACCAUCUAGAGAUAAUUAGAAAGAACAACUACGGUUCAAGCCAUUUCAGAAAUCGGGAUUCUGGAUCUAGCUGUGUGACCCUGGGCAAACUACUUAACCUUCCUGGGCUCCCUGUUUACUCAUCUGUCUGUCAGUAUGUUUACCUAAUUACACCAUACAUAUUUCAAACCAUUGUGGUUUUAAAAGCACUUUUGCACAUUUCAGUGUUUAAGGAUUCCAUUUUAGGGCCUUUUUUGGGGGGAGGGGAGCUGCGGCUGCAGUGUGCCGCAGCUUGAUGUGGGAUCUCAGUUCCCAGACCAAGGACUGAAUGUGGGCCACAGUGGUGAAAGCACUGAGUCCUAACCACUAGACCACCAGGGAACUCCCAGUGCAUCUGACGCUUGCAAUAACCCCAUUAAGCAACAGGGGUUAUUAUCCUCAUGGUAUAAAGCUGGCAACUGAGGCUCAGAGGCUAAGUGACACACUUCCGAUAGCAGCCAGAAAGCAAGAGAAGUGGAACCGAAUCCUCAACUUCUGAUUCCAAGCAAAUGCUUUUCUUUCCAUAUCAUGUUGCAUGAUCUUUCUGGUUCCAACAGAAUUAAAAUGCCACAAUUUAAAAAAAUCUGUCUCCAUUCACAACCCAUGUCACUGUUUGGAAUCUGACAUCUUUUAUACUUCAGGGAAAACGAAGCAUGUGAAAAAGUGCUCUCUCACAUAAACACUUCUGUUUUCAAUUGAAUUCUUUUGCUCUUUUAAAUACUUAGAUGCUAAGUGCUAACUAGUAAAGAUGCUUAGUACUAGUGGUGAAGAAUCUAACAGGUCUGGCUCCUGGUAGACAUACUCCUGUAUGAAAGAGUCCAGAAUACACAGUCUACAGUUAUAUUAGAAGUACCCAAAAACUGUUACUUUACUGAAAAAGAAAGAUAUAAAACCCACAGCAUGGAAGAUCGACAAUGGCAGAGCUGGACCUGAGACUCUAAGAAAGUCCACUGCUGGGUCCUUAACCUUGACAUUUGUGUGGCCUAAGGUCCCCUUCCUCCUUUCCCUUGUCUCCUCAUCCAUCCAUCCAAUAGGG
rnacentral:tRNA from 1 species